AGGGAGUUUGAUCCUGGCUCAGAACGAACGCUGGCGGCAGGCCUCAAACAUGCAAGUCUAGGGGGGUAGCAAUACCCACCGGCGGACGGGUGCGUAACGCGUGGGAACAUACCUUUCGGUACGGAACAACUGCGGGAAACUGCAGCUAAUACCGUAUACGUCCUAACGGAGAAAGAUUUAUCGCCGAAGGAUUGGCCCGCGUUCGAUUAGCUAGUUGGUGAGGUAACGGCUCACCAAGGCGACGAUCGAUAGCUGUUCUGAGAGGAAGAUCAGCCACACUGGGACUGAGACACGGCCCAGACUCCUACGGGAGGCAGCAGUUGGGAAUCUUGGACAAUGGGGGAAACCCUGAUCCAGCCAUGCCGCGUGAGUGAUGAAGGCCUUCGGGUUGUAAAACUCUUUCGACGGGGACGAUAAUGACGGUACCCGUAGAAGAAGCUCCGGCUAACUUCGUGCCAGCAGCCGCGGUAAUACGAAGGGGGCUAGCGUUGUCGGAAUUACUGGGCGUAAAGCGCGCGCAGGCGGUCUUCCAAGUCAGGGUGAAAGCCUGGAGCUCAACUCCAGAACUGCCAUUGAAACUGUUAGACUUGAGUACGAGAGAGGUGAGUGGAAUUCCCAGUGUAAAGGUGAAAUUCGUAGAUAUUGGGGAAGAACACCAGUGGCGAAAGGCGGCUCACUGGCUCGUAACUGACGCUCAGGCGCGACAGCGUGGGGGAUCAAACAGGAUUACGAUACCCUGGU
rnacentral:rRNA from 1 species